rnacentral:rRNA from 1 species
UAGGGAAUCUUCGGCAAUGGACGAGAGUCUGACCGAGCAACGCCGCGUGAGUGAAGAAGGUUUUCGGAUCGUAAAACUCUGUUGUUAGAGAAGAACGACGAGGAGAGUGGAAAGCUCCUCGUGUGGCGGUAUCUAACCAGAAAGGGACGGCUAACUACGCGCCAG